GUAGUGGAGUUUCAGUGGUAGAAUUCUUGCCUUCAAUGCAGGAGACCUGAGUUCAAUUCCCAAUCAAUACA
rnacentral:tRNA from 1 species